rnacentral:rRNA from 1 species
UCGAGCGGACGACACGGAGCUUGCUGGUUGCUCAAAUGGCGGACGGGUGAGUAAUGCCUAGGAAUCUGCCUGAAAAUGGGGGACAACGUUUCGAAAGGAACGCUAAUACCGCAUACGUCCUACGGGAGAAAGCAGGGGACCUUCGGGCCUUGCGCUAUCAGAUGAGCCUAGGUCGGAUUAGCUAGUUGGUGGGGUAAUGGCUCACCAAGGCGACGAUCCGUAACUGGUCUGAGAGGAUGAUCAGUCACACUGGAACUGAGACACGGUCCAGACUCCUACGGGAGGCAGCAGUGGGGAAUAUUGGACAAUGGGCGAAAGCCUGAUCCAGCCAUGCCGCGUGUGUGAAGAAGGUCUUCGGAUUGUAAAGCACUUUAAGUUGGGAGGAAGGGCAGUAAGUUAAUACCUUGCUGUUUUGACGUUACCGACAGAAUAAGCACCGGCUAACUCUGUGCCAGCAGCCGCGGUAAUACAGAGGGUGCAAGCGUUAAUCGGAAUUACUGGGCGUAAAGCGCGCGUAGGUGGUUCGUUAAGUUGGAUGUGAAAGCCCCGGGCUCAACCUGGGAACUGCAUCCAAAACUGGCGAGCUAGAGUACGGUAGAGGGUGGUGGAAUUUCCUGUGUAGCGGUGAAAUGCGUAGAUAUAGGAAGGAACACCAGUGGCGAAGGCGACCACCUGGACUGAUACUGACACUGAGGUGCGAAAGCGUGGGGAGCAAACAGGAUGAGAUACCCUGGUACUCCACGCCGUCAACGAUGUCAACUAGCCGUUGGAAUCCUUGAGAUUAUAUUGCCGCAGCUUACGCAUUAAGUUGAUCGCCUGGGUUAGUACGACCGCCCCGGUAGAACUCAACUGAUGUGACAUGCAGCUCGCACAAACAACGUAGCAUGGCGUUUUAUUUCGAAACUACGCUAAGAACCUUGCCCCGCCCUUGACAUGCACAGCAGCUUGCACAGACUAAAUCGGGGCCUGCUGCUAUCUCUGACCCUCGAACCUGCAAGGCUGUCAGCUUAC